GGCUGAGGUGGCCGAGUGGUUUAGGCAAUGGACUAUUAAUCUAUUGUGCUCUGCACGCGUGGGUUCGAAUCCUAUCCUCGCCG